AUUCAGUGCAAAUUGCUAUCCUGUUCCUGAAGACACGACUAAGAGGAGGCAGAUAACUCAAGAAGUGUUGUCUCGGCUGUCUGAAUUAGAAACCACUCUGGAUGCUGGCCUGCGACAUAGAGAUAAAGCUUUGACCUCUAUCGGAUAUCACCUUACAAAAUGGAUAAAUAUGGUUAAAACACAAAAAGCUGUGUAUGACACUUUAAA
rnacentral:misc_RNA from 1 species